GGGGUAGAGCUCAGUUGGUAGAGUGCUUGCCUUGCAUGCAUAAGGCCCUGGGUUCAAUCCCCAGCACCACA
rnacentral:tRNA from 1 species